rnacentral:sRNA from 1 species
AAGGUUCUUCAGGUUUAUGGCAGAUUGCACCAUAUGAUUUGUGGUUGUUGUACAAAUGAUACCACCUUGGUUUUGAACGUCAAAAAAAAUCCACAGAAGCUACGCAGAAAGUAAAAAAAUUUCAAAUUUGACGCUUGAUAGCGAGCGUCAUUGUGUUGCCCCGCGUGAAGUAAUUUUUUUGGUCGUCAAAGUUAAAAAUUGUUUAACUUUUGUGAGUUGCUCUUUAACAUUUGGUUGCAGAGUUCCAUUUUUCAACGCGAUUAGGAGUUUAAUCUUCUUUAGUGAACACUGCCCGCAAGAGUGAUGAAACUGAGAAGAAAAGGAGUUCCUCCAUUCAUUUUGUUAAGGCUUGUUAACUUGUUUGCCGCUCGAGAUUUCAAGGUAAAGGGGUAUUCGUCUCCAUUUUUGGGUUGGGUUGCUCAUUUUUAAAACGUCUUUAAAUAUUUUUAACAAUUUCUAGGUUGAAUGUUUUCGCAUUCAUUUAAGAGCAAUUUGUUUUCUUUAUAGAAUAUAAAUUUAUAAUUGGCGAGCUCUUAAAAAUCUUUAUUUAACGUUAUUCAACCAUUGAAAAACAACGUAUCUAUUUUAAUAUGCAUAGCAUGUUCAUGAAUAAGCUUUGAUCUUCCCUUUAAAAUGCAAAUUAAGCAUUAGUCCACCCUAAUACAUUAUAACGUUACAUUUGUUUAUCGAAAGAAUUCCGAUAAUGGUGAUGGGACUGACAACAUAUCGAAAUCUUUGUUUGCAAAGUAUUUAAUUCCUAGAUAUAUCAUUUUGACAAAUUCAAUACUUUAAUUGAAGAAAGAAAAUUCAUUAUAAAUGGUGCACACAAUUAUACAAAUAUAAAUGCACACAUAUGUAUAUACAUAUGUGUGUAUGUAUAUGAACGAACACACACACCUCAAGUUGGCUGUACGGUGAGGUGUUGGCGUAACUGCUGAUGAUGGGGCUGCUCCACUCUGGUGAGAGAACACUAUGUAUGUGGGAUUUUAUGUAUCCAAUAACCACAGACAGAAAUACUACAAUGAUCCAAAACAAAAACGAAAAAACAGAAACAGCAAACCGGCGAAUUAACGCUCAACACUGAAUGAACAACAACAACAAAAGCAACAGCAACGAUGAACAAACAACUACUCAGCAGCUUCAAAUGAAACAAAGAAGAAAGUCAGGGCAAAAGCAAUACACCACAACGACGUUGGCGACAACAAUAAUACCAGCAAAAGCGACGAAAAAACUUCGAUGUUUCAUACUUUCUUAAUCAUCUUAUCGUCUUUUACUUUUAUGUACUUAUAUAUAGCGCAGAACCCUUGUCCAUCAGUAUGUAGUCAGUGUUCCUCCAAAAGCCAGCCAUGGGAGUAGCAUGUACUACAUAUAAAUAAAAAAGUAUGUGUGUAUGUAGCCAUUAGUAUGUGCAUUUAGCCAAAAGCAUGGAAGAAAAACCAAGACAGACCGAGGGACAAACGGACCAUUUAUUUACCCCACCAACACAACAUAUGAUUCAUGACAAAUUCAUGGGUACAUACAAAGGGAGGCUAACCAUUGGGAGUUUAGUUGGUUAUAAAUAUAAUUCAACAGUAGUCCACACCUA